rnacentral:rRNA from 1 species
GAUGAACGCUGGCGGCGUGCCUAACACAUGCAAGUCGAGCGAAGCGCUUAAAUUAGAUUUCUUCGGAAUGACGAUUUUUGUGACUGAGCGGCGGACGGGUGAGUAACGCGUGGGUAACCUGCCUCAUACAGGGGGAUAACAGUUAGAAAUGACUGCUAAUACCGCAUAAGACCCCAGCUUCGCAUGAAGCGGUGGUAAAAACUCCGGUGGUAUGAGAUGGACCCGCGUCUGAUUAGCUAGUUGGUAAGGUAACGGCUUACCAAGGCGACGAUCAGUAGCCGACCUGAGAGGGUGACCGGCCACAUUGGGACUGAGACACGGCCCAGAUUCCUACGGGAGGCAGCAGUGGGGAAUAUUGCACAAUGGGGGAAACCCUGAUGCAGCGACGCCGCGUGAAGGAUGAAGUAUUUCGGUAUGUAAACUUCUAUCAGCAGGGAAGAAAGUGACGGUACCUGACUAAGAAGCCCCGGCUAACUACGUG